GCCAUAAGGGUAACAGGCAAAGUUGCUAGUCGAACGAACUCUGGUAUUGAUGUGGUGCUUGCAUCAUGAUUUACAUUUGAGUGAGUGGCGAACUGGUGAGUAACACGUGGGAAACCUGCCCAGAAGCGGGGGAUAACACCUGGAAACAGAUGCUAAUACCGCAUAACAACUUGGACCGCAUGGUCCGAGCUUGAAAGAUGGCUUCGGCUAUCACUUUUGGAUGGUCCCGCGGCGUAUUAGCUAGAUGGUGGGGUAACGGCUCACCAUGGCAAUGAUACGUAGCCGACCUGAGAGGGUAAUCGGCCACAUUGGGACUGAGACACGGCCCAAACUCCUACGGGAGGCAGCAGUAGGGAAUCUUCCACAAUGGACGAAAGUCUGAUGGAGCAACGCCGCGUGAGUGAAGAAGGGUUUCGGCUCGUAAAACUCUGUUGUUAAAGAAGAACAUAUCUGAGAGUAACUGUUCAGGUAUUGACGGUAUUUAACCAGAAAGCCACGGCUAACUACGUGCCAGCAGCCGCGGUAAUACGUAGGUGGCAAGCGUUGUCCGGAUUUAUUGGGCGUAAAGCGAGCGCAGGCGGUUUUUUAAGUCUGAUGUGAAAGCCUUCGGCUCAACCGAAGAAGUGCAUCGGAAACUGGGAAACUUGAGUGCAGAAGAGGACAGUGGAACUCCAUGUGUAGCGGUGAAAUGCGUAGAUAUAUGGAAGAACACCAGUGGCGAAGGCGGCUGUCUGGUCUGUAACUGACGCUGAGGCUCGAAAGUAUGGGUAGCAAACAGGAUUAGAUACCCUGGUAGUCCAUACCGUAAACGAUGAAUGCUAAGUGUUGGAGGGUUUCCGCCCUUCAGUGCUGCAGCUAACGCAUUAAGCAUUCCGCCUGGGGAGUACGGCCGCAAGGCUGAAACUCAAAGGAAUUGACGGGGGCCCGCACAAGCGGUGGAGCAUGUGGUUUAAUUCGAAGCUACGCGAAGAACCUUACCAGGUCUUGACAUACUAUGCAAAUCUAAGAGAUUAGACGUUCCCUUCGGGGACAUGGAUACAGGUGGUGCAUGGUUGUCGUCAGCUCGUGUCGUGAGAUGUUGGGUUAAGUCCCGCAACGAGCGCAACCCUUAUUAUCAGUUGCCAGCAA
rnacentral:rRNA from 1 species